UACGGAGGAUCCGAGCGUUAUCCGGAUUUACUGGGUUUAAAGGGUGUGUAGGCGGGCUAUUAAGUCAGCGGUGAAAUCUCCGGGCUCAACCUGGAAACUGCCAUUGAUACUAUUAGUCUUGAAUUCUGUUGAGGUGGGCGGAAUAAAUCAUGUAGCGGUGAAAUGCAUAGAUAUGAUUUAGAACACCAAUUGCGAAGGCAGCUCGCUAAACAGAUAUUGACGCUGAGGCACGAAAGCGUGGGGAUCAAACAGG
rnacentral:rRNA from 1 species